rnacentral:rRNA from 1 species
CCUACGGGAGGCAGCAGUGAGGAAUAUUGGUCAAUGGGCUUACGCCUGAACCAGCCAAGUCGCGUGAGGGAAGACUGCCCUAUGGGUUGUAAACCUCUUUUGUCAGGGAGCAACGCCGGCUACGUGUAGCCGGACUGAGAGUACCUGAAGAAAAAGCAUCGGCUAACUCCGUGCCAGCAGCCGCGGUAAUACGGAGGAUGCGAGCGUUAUCCGGAGUUAUUGGGUUUAAAGGGUGCGUAGGCGGAAUGCCAAGUCAGCGGUAAAAUCGCGGGGCUCAACCUCGCUCCGCCGUUGAAACUGGCGUUCUUGAGUGGGCGAGAAGUAUGCGGAAUGCGUGAUGUAGCGGUGAAAUGCAUAGAUAUCACGCAGAACUCCGAUUGCGAAGGCAGCAUACCGGCGCCCAACUGACGCUGAAGCACGAAAGCGUGGGUAUCGAACAGGAUUAGAUACCCCAGUAGUC